rnacentral:lncRNA from 1 species
UUUUCAGCUCCAUUAUAAUCUUAUGGGACCACCAACAUAUAUGCAAUCUGUAUUGACCAAAAAGUCUUCAGACAGGUCAUAACUGUAUCAGUAACCUCUGGGGAACAUUUAAAAAUUUCCAAUGUCCUACCAUCAUCAGCCAAGCUUCUGAUUUAAUGAAUAUGAGAUGUGAUCUGAGCAUCAGAUUUUUUUCUUUUUAUUUCACCUAAUGUAAUUCAAAGAUGAUUGACACCACUGCAUUAGAGUUGUCUUCUCAACAAUGUGGAUUAAAGAGGCAAACAAACCGUAGAGCUUCAUAUCAGACAGCACAACAGUUGUACAUUUCCAAACUGAUUUGGAGGAUGAUACAUUCAGAUUCUCAGAGGAAGCCUAUAAAACAAAUAUUCGUUGAGCAUCUAAUCCAGUCUAUGAGCCUUGCCUGAAGGAGAUGGGAAAAAAAUGACACGGCUUCAACCUCAGAGGGUCUACAGAAAAGGUGAGGGAAUAAAACUUAUUAAUAAAAGUAAAACUUAGGCAAUAGUUUCUGGAAUAUCUCUGUCAAGGA